GGGAACACUACAGAGGCAGUACACAUUCCUAUAAGGCACCAUGAACUUCUCUCUCAGCCAGGUAUGGACAUAUUGGGACUGUUUGGUGAAGAAUCACUAAAAUGGCAACAG